GUAGGAAUCGGCUUCAGUUCUUGCUGCUGUUGUUCCUUAUUUGUUUCUCUUUGUUGGGGAAUAACAAAACGGAUUUAUGUUACGUGCAGGGGACAUUGAAAUUUGCUGAGGACAUUGAAAUCCUGGGGAAAGUCUGAAACUGAUGCUCCUCCUGUGAGAGAAGAGUCAUAUGCAGCCCUUUGUUUUAUGUGUCCAUUGAGCCCCCUGGUGUUUUCGGAAGAGUUUGAUUAAUGGUGUGUUUCUGCUCUCCCUCCCUGAGCUCUUGGAGAAGCCGGUGAAUAGACAGCAUUCUCCCUUCCAUAUGGAAAUUAUUCCAUCCCUUUGAGGAAUUCCAUUUAUAGUGCGGGAAGUAUCGACAGAACCCAAGACUUCUUAUGGAGCAGGCAGAGGCAGGUCCCCCGCCGAGAGCACGGUUCCAGGGCUGUGCCUGUGUGCUCAUCACCUUGGCUGACUUUUGACCUUGACUGAAUAGCUGGAUGGAUCAGGGAAGAACGUCCACAAAGUGCCAAGUUGCUCAAGAGAUGAAUGAAAGCAGAUGAGAAACGGAUGUUAACUCCUGCCUGUCCUCUGAGACUAGGAACGCCGAACAGCUGUUGGCAAUUUAGCAGAGAUUAUGCCAUCCAUCUUAGAGGUGGCGGGAAUACAUCUCCCAGCUCUAAAUAUGGAGUUUGAAGAAACUCACCCAGCUUACUGGAGCCCCAAAACAAAUGCAACUUCAUCAAGAAAUAGACCUUCAAAAGAGAAGUGGGGGGGGGGGGGCGUGUAGCCAAGAGCUGGAGGGGCUUAACUCAAUCCCCAGCAUCUCAGGGUGAGAGAAAAAAAGGGCACGGAAGUAGGAGGGGCAACUAUUUGGGGAAAGAAGGGCCAGGGGAAGGAAUCCGGCAUGAGGGAGGGUAACAGGGCUGAAUAUGAUCAAAGUCCGCAGCUGGUCAUGGUAAUGCACAUCUGUAGUCCCAGCACUUGAGUGACUGAGGCAGGAGGAUUUCUGUGAGUCUGAGCAAAGUCUGUGCUAUAUAAGGAGUACCAACAGAGCCAAAGCUAAAUAAGAUGCCAUCUCAAAGAAACAAAAAUUAAAAAAAAAUUACACUCUCUACAUGUAUGAAACCUUUACAACAAAACCCACUAUUUUGUACAAUUAAUAUUCACUAAGAAAAGGAACGGAAAAAUAAAGCGUGGACGUAAGUA